UAUCAUGCCUACAAAAUAUAGGGA
rnacentral:siRNA from 1 species